rnacentral:rRNA from 1 species
GCCGUAGGGCGCGAGCGUUGUCCGGAUUUAUUGGGCGUAAAGAGCUCGUAGGCGGUUUGUCGCGUCGUUCGUGAAAACUCACAGCUUAACUGUGAGCUUGCGGUCGAUACGGGCAGGCUAGAGUUCGGUAGGGGAGACUGGAAUUCCUGGUGUAGCGGUGAAAUGCGCAGAUAUCAGGAGGAACACCGGUGGCGAAGGCGGGUCUCUGGGCCGAUACUGACGCUGAGGAGCGAAAGCGUGGGGAGCGAACAGG